rnacentral:misc_RNA from 1 species
UUUCCGUAGGUGAACCUGCGGAAGGAUCAUUAUUGUAUAACCGAGGUGCGAGGGCUGUCGCUGUCCCGAAAGGUCGUGCACGCCCGAGUGCCCUCACACACAUCCAUCUCACCCCUAUGUGCACCACCGCGUGGGCCCCCCUUUGGCUCGUUCGGAGGGGGGCUUACGUUUUCACACAAACUUUGUAUGCAGUGUAGAAUGUAUUUUUUGUUUUUGCGAUCACGCAAUCAAUACAACUUUCAACAACGGAUCUCUUGGCUCUC